UUUUGGCUCAGAACGAACGCUGGCGGCGCGUUUUAAGCAUGCAAGUCGAGCGGCAGGGGGGCUUCGGUCCCCCGUAGAGCGGCGAGACGGAGUGAGUAACACGUGGACAACCUGCCCCCCGGUUCGGGAUAGCCCAGGGAAACCUGGAUCAAUACCGGAUGCGAGGGCGGCCGCACAAGCGGCCGUCGGGAAAGGCGCUUCGGCGCCGCCGGGGGAUGGGUCCGCGUCCCAUUAGCUAGACGGUGGGGUAACGGCCCACCGUGGCGAUGAUGGGUAGCCGGCCUGAGAGGGUGGACGGCCACAUUGGAACUGAGACACGGUCCAGACUCCUACGGGAGGCAGCAGCUAAGAAUCUUCCGCAAUGGGCGAAAGCCUGACGGAGCGACGCCGCGUGAACGAAGAAGGCCGUGAGGUUGUAAAGUUCUUUUCGGGAGGGGGAACGAGGCUGCCAGGCAAUGGGCGGCCGAUGACGUGAAUCCCGGAAUAAGCCCCGGCUAACUACGUGCCAGCAGCCGCGGUAACACGUAGGGGGCGAGCGUUGUUCGGAAUCAUUGGGCGUAAAGGGCGUGCAGGCGGCCGCCAAAGUCCGGCGUGAAAGACCCAGGCUCAACCUGGGGGGUGCGCCGGAUACUGGGCGGCUUGAGUACAGGAGGGGACGGCGGAAUUCCAGGUGUAGGGGUGAAAUCUGUAGAUAUCUGGAGGAACACCGAUGGCGAAGGCAGCCGUCUGGCCAUGUACUGACGCUGAGGCGCGAAGGUGCGGGGAGCAAACAGGUUUAGAUACCCUGGUAGUCCGCACAGUAAACGAU
rnacentral:rRNA from 1 species